rnacentral:rRNA from 1 species
GAUGAACGCUGGCGGCGUGCCUAAUACAUGCAAGUCGAGCGAAGCGGGGACGGGUGAGUAACACGUGGAUAACCUCCUAUAAGACUGGGUUAACUUCGGGAAACCGGAGCAAAACCUGAUAUUUAUAGAUGGCUCCGCGCUGCAUUAGCUAGUUGGUAAGGUAACGGCUUACCAAGGCAACGAUGCAUACCCGACCUGAGAGGGUGAUCGGCCACACUGGAACUGAGAAACGGUCCAGACUCCUACGGGAGGCAGCAGUAGGGAAUCUUCCGCAAUGGGCGAAAGCCUGACGGAGCAACGCCGCGUGAGUGAUGAAGGUCUUCGGAUCGUAAAACUCUGUUAUUAGGGAAGCGGUACCUAAUCAGAAAGCCACGGCUAACUACGUGCCAGCCGCCGCGGUAAUAC